rnacentral:lncRNA from 1 species
UGCAGACGGGGCUUGGGGGCGGGUCAAAGAACACAGCACUUGGAACUGAAGUCCUGGAGGGGUUUUGGCGACGGAUGAAGUCGACCUCCUGGGCUACAAGCCUGUAGAAGAAACGCUGGAGAGGAUGCCACCUGCUGGUGAGGGACCCUGGCUUGCAUGGUGGGCUCAACAGAGACCUGGAGCCUGGAUGCACAGAAAAUCAGAAUUGGGGCGGCUUUCCAAGUUGAUGGUUUUCGGCUGUCUCUUUGGGCUGUUAGCUCCACCGACUGUACGCAGAGACCCGGUCCCCCGCGCGCCAUCCCACAUACGCGGAGGUUUCCAGCGGAGACCGUGGUCUUCCUCCUUGCUUCCCCUCGCAGCGCACUCAAGGUCUAAGGACUCUCCACGCUUCUCCAUCAGGUGGAGCCGUCCGCUCCUCGCCGCCUCCCCCCUCCCUCCUCGAGAGCGAACUGCGCGCAGGCCACCUUGCAGCGCCAGGAGGUUAACCGAGCCCCCGGAGGAGGUGAGGCCACGAGCUGGCCCGAGAGGAGAUGGCGGGGCCGCCGUCGGGGCUGGCGCCAGAGCCCGGCCGGCUGUGGGUCCUGCAGCUUCUGUGAAAGGAGCCCUUCUGUCACUCGUCACUCGUUCGCUCGCUCGCUGUGGGAGGAGCCCGCCGGAGGAAGCCGUGUGCCUGGGAUGCCAAGAGCCAGAGAAUGGAUCUGCUCCGAGUGGGGACAUUGCUGAGGAUCCCGGCUUCCCGAGGCGGUUAAAAACAGGCAAUUUGUCUCAGCUGGCUGCAGAAACCCGGAGACACAAAGAGACCGAAACCACCCGAAGGGACCGACGGGCGGACAGACAGAUGGUCGGCAAGAAUCGGAGAGGACCGGCGUUGGAGGCUGAGCACCGCGAGCCGCCGAGGAAGAGAAACUAACUACACCCCCAAGUUACCCGCCGGCUCUCCCUUGCUGUGCUGAGGAAUGAAACCUUUCCAGCUCGAUUUGCUCUUCCUCUGCUUCUUCCUUUUCAGUCAAGGUAGGACCGGCGCGCUGCUGGAGUUGGAGCAAAGUCGGCGGGGUUGUUAG